rnacentral:rRNA from 1 species
AGACACGGCCCAGACUCCUACGGGAGGCAGCAGUAGGGAAUCUUCCGCAAUGGACGAAAGUCUGACGGAGCAACGCCGCGUGAGUGAUGAAGGUUUUCGGAUCGUAAAGCUCUGUUGUUAGGGAAGAACAAGUACCGUUCGAAUAGGGCGGUACCUUGACGGUACCUAACCAGAAAGCCACGGCUAACUACGUGCCAGCAGCCGCGGUAAUACGUAGGUGGCAAGCGUUGUCCGGAAUUAUUGGGCGUAAAGGGCUCGCAGGCGGUUUCUUAAGUCUGAUGUGAAAGCCCCCGGCUCAACCGGGGAGGGUCAUUGGAAAUUGGGGAACUUGAGUGCAGAAGAGGAGAGUGGAAUUCCACGUGUAGCGGUGAAAUGCGUAGAGAUGUGGAGGAACACCAGUGGCGAAGGCGACUCUCUGGUCUGUAACUGACGCUGAGGAGCGAAAGCGUGGGGAGCGAACAGGAUUAGAUACCCUGGUAGUCCACGCCGUAAACGAUGAGUGCUAAGUGUUAGGGGGUUUCCGCCCCUUAGUGCUGCAGAUAACGCAUUAAGCACUCCGCCUGGGGAGACGGUCGCAAGACUGAAACCUUAAGGAAUUGACGGGGCCCGCACAACCGGUGGAGCAUGUCUUUUUUUUCAAGCAACGCGAAGACCCUACCAGGUUUUGACAUCCUCUGACAAU